GUCACUUUAGACGAAUUCAUUGUGUCCGUAUCUCCUUGAGAAUCUCCCUGGAGGACAUUUGGACAACUGUUAUCAUUUAUUGGCAUCUUCCUUGAGGUUUCAGCAGGCCAAACAGCAUUAAGGCAAGAGAACAAACUGGAAAAAGUCUGGCACUCCAGCUGCUUUUGUCCUUCUUGAUGACAGAUUCUCAAAAAAGCCCUGAGGGCAUUGAAUUCUUCACUAUCAAGGCAUCCACAGUGAGCAAGAUUCAUCAGUGUUCCAACAGGAAACGUGACCUCUAGUGUGGACACACAAAAGGAUUACGACAAACAUUGCGGAGGAUUGGGAAAGAUUCCAGGAGAAUGUGGAUUUGUAGAGGAUG